ensembl:ncRNA C11D2.98 ncRNA
CUCGAUAUCUGUCCUCCGGAUGCGCCCUUCGCCCCCGUAUAAUUAAAUUGAGCAACAGCACCAAAUGUGGCACCUCGUAUGUGAAAAAGAGA